rnacentral:rRNA from 1 species
UACGGGGGGGGCAAGCGUUGUUCGGAAUUACUGGGCGUAAAGGGCUCGUAGGCGGCCAACUAAGUCCGACGUGAAAUCCCCAGGCUUAACCUGGGAACUGCGUCGGAUACUGGAUGGCUUGAAUUCGGGAGAGGGAUGCAGAAUUCCAGGUGUAGCGGUGAAAUGCGCAGAUAUCAGGAGGAACACCGGUGGCGAAGGCGGUUCUCUGGGCAUGUCCUGACGCUGAGGAGCGAAAGUGUGGGGAGCGAACAGG